CUUAUUUAAAAAAUAGAUUGGUAGAUGAUCCUAUAAUUUUUUCAAGUGAUAUGGUUUCGUUGUGUAUAACAAAAAUGUUGAGUUAAUACCAAUUUACAGAAAAUCAUUUGCGUAACCAUACUAUCUACGUGUAUAUCAUAAAAUGAUAUUUUACUCAUGUGUUUGGUGCGAAAUAUUCGAUAUCAACAACACUAUUUUUCUAUUAACUGCAAGGGAAUUGUUUCUAACUAACCCAUCCGAAGGAAAGAGUAAUGUCGUCGUUGAAUUUAAAAGAGAUUUCAACGCCACGUAUAGGUAUUAUUAUUAAAUAGGAAUACAAGAAGCAAAAGAUACUAUCAAGCAUUUACAAAAUGAAUAGUUGGGUUGAAGGACAUUAUGAACAGGCCCAUUUAAUAUAUUAAAGGUAAAUAUGAAAGAAGCAAUUAAAUGCGAAGCAAUUAAACGAAGUAAUAAGGCAACAAAAAAUAUUAAUAGGCCGUAAUCGCAAUGGAAAGACUUUUUGGAAUAUUUAUAUCCACAGUUAUUGAUUUCAUUGUCAAUUACUCUGAUCAUAGCAAUGUUAAAUAUUUGGAUCACAAAAAGACACCAUAAUACAAAAAUGUAUUGACAAAAAUAUUAUAAAGUAAAGGAAAUGUUUUUACAAGGAAUAUUUUGGGAAUGCUUCUGUGACCAUCAUUUGUGUUGGCAUGCAUAUAUAUUGCACAAUACUUAAAUAUGCUACCAUUGCCAAUGAUGCUGGGAGGAAAGACAAUAAUACAUUAGGAAGACUCUUGAAAGAACUGAAGAAAGCAUUAUCUACAGUCAAGGACGUGAAUUAUAUAGAAAACGAAUUAAAAGAGAAAAUCCAAAACGAUAAAGGCAAAAUCAUGGAGAAAGAACAAUGAGUUAAAGGAUCUUUCACAAGAGAUUUUUCAUCAGAGGACGUUGAAAAGGAGCCGCCUGAAGAAAACAAAAUGUGGAAAUGGAAUAAUGGGUUCAGACCAAAUAAUCUGGAUUUAGACCAUCGAAGAAAAGAGCCUUCAACAGUACGGAACAAGCAACAAGGAUGUUACACAAACGCGAGCCUCUUGUGAAAAUCAAAUUUAGCAGCAACAAAUGAUACGACAGGUUGCAGAUUGCAACAGAGUAAUCUAAGAUUUACACAUCAAUGAAGAAAUAAUCGAGAGGAUGAAACUAUUACAUAUAUGUAAUCUAAUAUUCGAUCAUCGCUCUGACGAAAUAAUGAUGGAACCCAGAACGGUACCAUGAAAAAGGAUAUUAAUGCGCAACAGCAUAGUAAUAACACAAACACAUUCUAGUAAAAUCACCUGUCAGCUGAUUGAUUUUUAAACAAUCGAAAAUAGAAAGUUACUCAAAAUUCAUUUUUAAAUUGCAAUUAACAUGUAGGUAAUAUAUUUUAAUACGAAUUUUAAAUAAGUCAAACUUUUCAUAAAGCUCAUAUAUUAUACAAUUUCCAAACAUCAGAAAAUUUCUGAUAGUUUCAUAGUCUAGAAUCAUAAAAUUUUUGGGAUUGUAUUCUUUAGGGUCAAUUAUAUCAAUUACGCUGGAUGAAGGACUUAUAUUUAUUUAUAUCAGCGAUAUUCAAAAUUUAA